CUGUUUUUAAACAAGAGGUCUGUGAACAUCCGUUGUACGUCCCAAUAGCUUUCCACACUGAAGCGCCGAUCUCCCAGAUACUCCUGCCUCAGUUUACGGGAGUAAUCGUCCAUAUCUUUGAUGGUCGUCAUGGAGUCCCGGUAGAACAACAAAUAC